rnacentral:rRNA from 1 species
GACGUAGGAGGCGAGCGUUGUCCGGAUUCAUUGGGCGUAAAGAGCGUGUAGGCGGCCAGACAGGUCCGUUGUGAAAACUCGAGCUCAACCUCGAGACGCCGAUGGAAACCGUCUGGCUAGAGUCCGGAAGAGGAGAGUGGAAUUCCUGGUGUAGCGGUGAAAUGCGCAGAUAUCAGGAAGAACACCCGUGGCUAAGGCGGCUCUCUAGUACGGUACUGACGCUGAGACGCGAAAGCGUGGGGAGCGAACAGG